rnacentral:rRNA from 1 species
UACGGAGGGUGCAAGCGUUAUCCGGAUUUACUGGGUUUAAAGGGUGUGUAGGCGGGCUUUUAAGUCAGUGGUGAAAUCUCCGGGCUCAACCUGGAAACUGCCAUUGAUACUAUUAGUCUUGAAUAUUGUUGAGGUAGGCGGAAUAAGUCAUGUAGCGGUGAAAUGCAUAGAUAUGACUUAGAACACCAAUUGCGAAGGCAGCUUGCUAAACAAUGAUUGACGCUGAGGCACGAAAGCGUGGGGAAUCAA